rnacentral:lncRNA from 1 species
GCCUCAUGGGAUAUGAGUGCCCUGCAGGAAUGAAAAGAAUCCUUCAUCAAUAGCUUCCUGCCCCCAAAUAAGGAACCAUUGCUCUGUUCUCCUCAGCAAAUAACAUUGACAUGAAACUUACUGCCAUCUGCUUCCCAAAUGAAGGCUUCUGUUGGGAGGUAAGCAAGCUCCCAUGUCCACAGUUACAAGCAGCUCCUGCCACCAGGAACCUCCCCCACCACGAUGGUCACUAUGGACUGUAUCCCUAUAACUGUGAGCCAAUGUAAUCUUUCCUCCUUCUACUUACUUUAACCAGACAACCUUCAAGACCAGGGGCUGAGCCCAGCAUACUCAAAGGCUGUGGAUUCAUCAUCAAGAACAAGAAACGGAUGGAGGACCACACAGAGAUACACAAUACCUAAAUGUCCCCACCAUGGUAUGACACAGCCAAGAAAUUUUUCCUAGAAGUUGUGUUAUGCUUUUUUGAUAGCCAGCCUCUGAAACGGUGAAAUAAUUAAAUGUUUUCUCUUUAUAAGUU